rnacentral:rRNA from 1 species
UACGUAGGGUGCGAGCGUUAUUCGGAAUGACUGGGCGUAAAGGGUGCGCAGGCGGUUGGUCAAGACGGAUGUGAAAGCCCCGGGCUUAACCUGGGAGUGUCAUUCGUGACUGACGAACUAGAAUAUGGCAGAGGGAGGCGGAAUUCCACAUGUAGCAGUGAAAUGCGUAGAGAUGUGGAGGAACACCGAUGGCGAAGGCAGCCUGCUGGGCUAAUAUUGACGCUCAGGCACGAAAGCGUGGGGAGCAAACAGG